CCUACGGGUGGCAGCAGUGGGGAAUAUUGGGCAAUGGGCGCAAGCCUGACCCAGCAACGCCGCGUGAAGGAAGAAGGCUUUCGGGUUGUAAACUUCUUUUCUGGGGGACGAACAAAUGACGGUACCCCAGGAAUAAGCCACGUCUAACUACGUGCCAGCAGCCGCGGUAAUGCGUAGGUGGCAAGCGUUAUCCGGAUUUAUUGGGCGUAAAGGGCGUGUAGGCGGGAAUGCAAGUCAGAUGUAAAACCUAUGGGCUCAACCCAUAGCCUGCAGUUGAAACUGUAUUUCUUGAGUGCUGGAGAGGUAAGGGGAAUUCGGGGGGUAGGGGGGAAAGGGGGAGAAAAGAGGAGGAAAAGGAGGGG
rnacentral:rRNA from 1 species